rnacentral:pre_miRNA from 1 species
AAACUACUUCCUCCGUUCGGAAUUACUUGUCGCGGAAAUGGAUGUAUCUAGACGUAUUUUAGUUCUAGAUACGUCCAUUUUCGAGACAAGUAAUUCCGAACGGAGGGAGUACCAC